UAGGUAGGGUGCGAGCGUUAAUCGGAUUUACUGGGCGUAAAGCGUGCGCAGGCGGCCCGUUAAGACAGGUGUGAAAUCCCUGGGCUCAACCUAGGAAUUGCGCUUGUGACUGGCGGGCUCGAGUACGGUAGAGGGGGGUGGAAUUCCUGGUGUAGCAGUGAAAUGCGUAGAGAUCAGGAGGAACACCGAUGGCGAAGGCAGCCCCCUGGGCCUGUACUGACGCUCAUGCACGAAAGCGUGGGGAGCAAACAGG
rnacentral:rRNA from 1 species